rnacentral:tRNA from 1 species
GCAUCCAUCGCUCAGUGGCCGAGAGCAUCGCACUCAUAAUGCGACUUCCAUCGUGACGUCGUUGGUUCGAAUCCAACUGGAUGCA